AAACCUGCAGCAGUGAAGAAAGGAGGGGUCAAGAGCAGGAGAAAUAGGAAUGCAGGCUUGCCUGAGCCAAGGCAUUAUUUUAAUACUCUUAAAUCCAGGGGUUAAACUUAAGGUUCCUUUACUCUGUUUCUCCAAAGGAGAAAUCCCCACCAGAUACUCUCAAAGAGGUGAAAAUCACACAAAAGUUUACUUGCAAAAACAGAGCAAAUUAAGGAAACUUUGGCAAAAAAAUACAACACUGAAUUCAAAGUAAAUACAGCACUGAAUUCAAUGUAAAACCGCUUAUCAUAGCAAUACUUAACAUUAAUUUAGUAUUAAGCAUUUACUUAGAAUUUAUUUAGCAUUUGCUUAGCCCGUUUAACUGGGAAACCUUUAAAACCUUAAGAUGUUAUGUUAAGCUGCAUGAAAGGAUUAUGAGAAGGAGAGACAGAGAGAGAAAGCUGGAAAAGGUACAGAAAAAACACACAGGUACCAACUCGUGGUGUCCAGCGUGGGUGAGGUAGAAACUCCAAGGAAGAUGUCAGGGCAGGACUGGCCAUAACGCCCUCAGCCCCUUUUAUACCCGUAGCCUUUCAUGGCCCCGCCCCUAAGGUGGGAUUUCUGGUUGCUCGACCAAUCAGAGGCUGGCUAGGGCUGCCUCAGUGUGAUUGACUGGCAGCUCGACCAAUCAGAGGCUGGCUUUUCUCCAAUCCCAAUGCCCAUGGCUGAUCAGUGCUCUGCCCAGGAAAGCCCCUGAGAUGCCUCAAAUCCUCGGUAAGGGCUGUGCACCCAAAGGCAUUAAUGUGACAAUGGCGAGUCCAUGCCUGAGGAGCAUCAUCCAUGUGCAACCACGGUCCCAGCCCGGUACCUCACCUGUCGUGGUGGAAGAGCAUGUUGACCACGUCGUUGAAGAGGUUGGGGUCUUUUGGGGAGAAGAAGCCACUUUUAAUCUGGUCAACAGCCUGUUUCAGCUCGGGGAGCCGGUCGUAGUAGAGCUGGGCGUUGUAC